rnacentral:rRNA from 1 species
UACAGAGGUCUCAAGCGUUGUUCGGAUUCAUUGGGCGUAAAGGGUGCGUAGGUGGCGCCGUAAGUCGGGUGUGAAAUCUCGGAGCUUAACUUCGAAACUGCAUUCGAUACUGCCGUGCUUGAGGACUGGAGAGGAGACUGGAAUUUACGGUGUAGCGGUGAAAUGCGUAGAUAUCGUAAGGAAGACCAGUGGCGAAGGCGGGUCUCUGGACAGUUCCUGACACUGAGGCACGAAGGCCAGGGGAGCAAACGGG